AUUGAACGCUAGCGGGAUGCUUUACACAUGCAAGUCGAACGGCAGCGCGGACUUCGGUCUGGCGGCGAGUAGCGAACGGGUGAGUAAUGUAUCGGAACGUGCCCAGUCGCGGGGGAUAGCUACGCGAAAGCGUAGCUAAUACCGCAUACGCCCUACGGGGGAAAGCAGGGGAUCGUAAGACCUUGCACUAUUGGAGCGGCCGAUAUCGGAUUAGCUAGUUGGUGAGGUAACGGCUCACCAAGGCGACGAUCCGUAGCUGGUUUGAGAGGACGACCAGCCACACUGGGACUGAGACACGGCCCAGACUCCUACGGGAGGCAGCAGUGGGGAAUUUUGGACAAUGGGGGCAACCCUGAUCCAGCCAUCCCGCGUGUGCGAUGAAGGCCUUCGGGUUGUAAAGCACUUUUGGCAGGAAAGAAACGUCGCGGGCUAAUACCCCGUGGAACUGACGGUACCUGCAGAAUAAGCACCGGCUAACUACGUG
rnacentral:rRNA from 1 species